CAGAGGGAAUAAGUGAAGCUGCCAGCAUGAUCUGGCUUUGAUGGAUAAAAAAAAAAAAAUUUGUAUGAUGGAAAAACAUCAAAACAAUGACCUAACUUGACCACCAUUGGCUAGGUCAUGCUCUGACAGCUUCACUCCUUCCCUUU